rnacentral:rRNA from 1 species
UACGGGGGGGGCAAGCGUUGUUCGGAAUUACUGGGCGUAAAGGGCUCGUAGGCGGCCAACUAAGUCAGACGUGAAAUCCCUCGGCUUAACCGGGGAACUGCAUCUGAUACUGGACGGCUUGAGUUCGGGAGAGGGAUGCGGAAUUCCAGGUGUAGCGGUGAAAUGCGUAGAUAUCUGGAGGAACACCGGUGGCGAAGGCGGCAUCCUGGACCGACACUGACGCUGAGGAGCGAAAGCCAGGGGAGCAAACGGG